rnacentral:rRNA from 1 species
GACGAACGCUGGCGGCGUGCUUAACACAUGCAAGUCGAACGGUAAGGCCCUUUCGGGGGUACACGAGUGGCGAACGGGUGAGUAACACGUGGGUGAUCUGCCCUGCACUUUGGGAUAAGCCUGGGAAACUGGGUCUAAUACCGGAUAGGACUACACGAUGCAUGUCGUGUGGUGGAAAGCUUUUGCGGUGUGGGAUGGGCCCGCGGCCUAUCAGCUUGUUGGUGGGGUGAUGGCCUACCAAGGCGACGACGGGUAGCCGGCCUGAGAGGGUGUCCGGCCACACUGGGACUGAGAUACGGCCCAGACUCCUACGGGAGGCAGCAGUGGGGAAUAUUGCACAAUGGGCGCAAGCCUGAUGCAGCGACGCCGCGUGGGGGAUGACGGCCUUCGGGUUGUAAACCCCUUUCAGCACAGACGAAGCGUAAGUGACGGUAUGUGCAGAAGAAGCACCGGCCAACUACGUG